GCAUCGGUGGUUCAGUGGUAGAAUUUUUGCCUGCCACGCGAUAAACCCGGGUUCGACUCCCGGCUGAUACA